rnacentral:rRNA from 1 species
AAAGCUCGUAGUUGAAUUUCUGGUCGUGAAACGUGGUCCGUUCCGCAAGGAAUGUGUACUGUCGAUUUAUGUCCAUCCUCGGUGUUAGUAUGCAUUACUUUAAUCGGUCGUGUAUACAACCACCGUCAUUUACUGUGAGCAAAAUAGAGUGUUCAAAGCAGGCUUAUGCCGUUGAAUAUAUUAGCAUGGA